rnacentral:rRNA from 1 species
UACGUAGGGUGCGAGCGUUGUCCGGAAUUAUUGGGCGUAAAGAGCUCGUAGGCGGUGUGUCACGUCGGCCGUGAAAACCUGCAGCUUAACUGUGGGCGUGCGGUCGAUACGGGCAUCACUGGAGUUCGGCAGGGGAGACUGGAAUUCCUGGUGUAGCGGUGAAAUGCGCAGAUAUCAGGAGGAACACCCGUGGCGAAGGCGGCUCUCUGGGCCGUAACUGACGCUGAGGAGCGAAAGCAUGGGGAGCGAACAGG